rnacentral:rRNA from 1 species
AACCUGGUUGAUCCUGCCAGUAGUCAUACGCUUAUCUCAAAGAUUAAGCCAUGCACGUCUAAGUAUAGCAUUAUACAGUGAAACUGCGAAUGGCUCAUUAUAUCAGUUAUAGUUUAUUUGAUGUUAAACACUUACUUGGAUAUCUGUAGUARUUCUAGAGUCAAUACAUGCUAAAAAGCCACUAGUAAUAGUGGUUGCAUUUAUGACUUUGUAAUCCAAUUCAUUGGUGAUACUACAUAACUUCGCUAAUUGAUCAUUUUGAUCAAUAUAUCAUUCAAGUUUCUGCCCUAUCAGCUUGAUGGUAGUGUAUUGGCCUACCAUGGCGUUAACGGGUAACGGAGAAUUAGGGUUCGAUUCCGGAGAGGGAGCCUGAGAGACGGCUACCACAUCCAUGGAAGGCAGCAGGCGCGUAAAUUACCCAAUCCUGACUUAGGGAGGUAGUGAAAAUAAAUACCGAUAUGGUGGGUUUAUCCUACUAUAAUUGGAAUGAGAUAACUGUAAAUAUGUUGUUGAUAUUCAAUUGGAGGGCAAGUCUGGUGCCAGCAGCCGCGGUAAUUCCAGCUCCAAUAGCGUAUAUUAAAGUUGUUGCAGUUAAAGCGUUCGUAGUUGAUAUUGUUGUAUACAAUGCUCCUUCGGGUAGCGUUGUAUUCAUUUGUGGGAAUUUGUUUUCAAGUUCCCCUAUUACUGUGAGCAAAUUAGAGUGUUCAAAGCAGACGAUGUUUGAAUACAUUAGCAUGGAAUAAUAAUGUUGUCGUAUGACAUCCAUUGGAUUGUGUUAUAUGAUGUGGAUUAAUAGAAACAGUUGUGGGUAUUCAUAUUUCAUAGUGAGAGGUAAAAUUCUUGGAUCUAUGGAAGAUGAACUACUGCGAAAGCAUUUACCAAGGAUGUUUUCAUUAAUCAAGAACGAAAGUUAGGGGAUCGAAGAGGAUCAGAUACCCUCGUAGUCUUAACUAUAAACUAUGCCACUUAUGUGUUGUCUAACUCAUCUUUUUGAGUUUGGCAUUGCAUUAUGAGAAAUCAAAAGCUUUGGGUUCCGGGGGGAGUAUGGUCGCAAGUCUGAAACUUAAAGGAAUUGACGGAAGGGCACUACCAGGAGUGGAGCCUGCGGCUUAAUUUGACUCAACACGGGGAAACUUACCAGGUCAGGACAUGGGAAGGAUUGACAGAUUGAGAGUUCUUUCUUGAUUCCUUGGGUGGUGGUGCAUGGCCGUUCUUAGUUGGUGGAGUGAUUUGUCUGGUUAAUUCCGUUAACGAACGAGACCUUUGUGUGGGAGUUAGUAAUUAUGUCGCUUGGUAUAUAUGUAUUUAUAUACUUGACAUAUAUUACUUUACACCUCAGACAAUGGAAGAUUAUUCCAUGGAAGUUAAAGGCAAUAACAGGUCUGUGAUGCCCUUAGAUGUCCUGGGCCGCACGCGUGCUACACUGAUGAGUAGAAUGGGUUAAUACUGCAUUUAUUGCUUUCCCUUGACCGAGAGGUCUGGGUAAUCCUUUAAUACUCAUCGUGCUGGGGAUUGAUUCUUGUAAUUAUUAAUCAUGAACGAGGAAUUCCUAGUAAACGCAAGUCAUCAUCUUGCAUUGAUUACGUCCCUGCCCUUUGUACACACCGCCCGUCGCACCUACCGAUUGGAUAUUGUGACGAACCUUGCAGAGUGAGUUCUAUUCAGCAAUGGAUAGUAUUUACGAAGUCAUGUAAAUCGUAAUAUCUAGAGGAAGGUGAAGUCGUAACAAGGUUUCCGUAGGUGAACCUGCAGAAGGAUCAAGC